rnacentral:rRNA from 1 species
CCUACGGGUGGCAGCAGUGAGGAAUAUUGGUCAAUGGGCGCGAGCCUGAACCAGCCAAGUAGCGUGAAGGAUGACUGCCCUACGGGUUGUAAACUUCUUUUAUAAAGGACUAAAGUGAUGCACGUUUGCCUUUUUGUAUGUACUUUAUGAAUAAGGAUCGGUUAACUCGGUCCAAGCAGCCGCGGUAAUACGGAGGUGCAGAGCUUUAUCCGGAUUUAUUGGGUUUAAGGGGAGCGUAGAUGGGUUGUUAAGUCAGUUGUGAAAGUUUGCGGCUAAACGGUAAAAGUGCAAUUGAUACUGGCAGCCUGGAAUACAGAUGAGGUAGGCGGAAUUCGUGGUGUAGCGGUGAAAUGCUUAGAUAUCACGAAGAACUCCGAUUGCGAAGGCAGCCUACUAAACUGCCACUGACAUUGAUGCUCGAAAGUGUGGGUAUCAAACAGGAUUAGAUACCCGAGUAGUC